AUGGGAGAUGCGCCGACGAUAUUGCUCCGAUCGUCGCGACGCAGGUCAAUGCUAGCUAGGGUGCGCAACAGGAGGACGGUUAGGGAGGCCGCACAUUCGCAUCGCUGGAUGUGCCAAAUGCCAAAUGAGCUCCCUACCGAUGGCUUGAUCUACAGUUCAUUCAGUUAUGGGAUUCAGGCGAUUCAUCUUAUUCCUCUGGUGCAGGACGAGGCCUUGCUACUUAUCUAUUCAUUCGCCUCUGCUUGCUUACCAGAUGCUCAACGAGGGGGCCAUCAAAUAUUCAAAUUUGCUUGUGCCAAGGCUAUUUGGAAAUCUUGGGCGCCACUUAACUGCUACACAGCCGGAUACUUCUCUGGUUCCUACGUUGACUGGUAA
rnacentral:rRNA from 1 species